ensembl:snRNA U6 U6 spliceosomal RNA
CGAACACUUGUGCUCGCUUUGGUAGCACAUAUACAGAGAAGAUCAGCAUGGCCCCUGUGCCAGGAUGACACACAAAUUCACGAAGCAUUCCAUAUUUUU